rnacentral:rRNA from 1 species
GAUGAGCGCUGGCGGUAGGCCUAUCACAUGCAAGUCGAACGAAGCACUUUACCUGAUUUCCUUCGGGAAUGAUUGUUCUGUGACUGAGUGGCGGACGGGUGAGUAACGCGUGGAUAACCUGCCUCACACAAGGGGAUAACAGUUGGAAACGACUGCUAAUACCGCAUAAGCGCACAGUACCGCAUGGUACGGUGUGAAAAACUCCGGUGGUGUGAGAUGGAUCCGCGUCGGAUUAGCUUGUUGGCGGGGUAACGGCCCACCAAGGCGACGAUCAGUAGCCGGCCUGAGAGUGCGACCGGCCACAUUGGGACUGAGACACGGCCCAGACUCCUACGGGAGGCAGCAGUGGGGAAUAUUGCACAAUGGGGGAAACCUUGAUGCAGCGACGCCGCGUGAGCGAUGAAGUAUUUCGGUAUGUAAAGCUCUAUCAGCAGGGAAGAUAAUGACGGUACCUGACUAAGAAGCUCCGGCUAAAUACGUGCCAGCAGCCGCAGUAACAC